rnacentral:rRNA from 1 species
CCUACGGGAGGCAGCAGUGAGGAAUAUUGGUCAAUGGUCGGGAGACUGAACCAGCCAAGCCGCGUGAGGGAGGAAGGUACAGAGUAUCGUAAACCUCUUUUGUCUGGGAACAAAGUGUUGGACGCGUCCCAGUAUGUGUGUACCUGAUGAAAAAGCAUCGGCUAACUCCGUGCCAGCAGCCGCGGUAAUACGGAGGAUGCGAGCGUUAUCCGGAUUUAUUGGGUUUAAAGGGUGCGGAGGCGGUUUGUUAAGUCAGCCGUUAAAGGUCGGGGCUCAACCGCAUACCCGCAGUUGAAACUGGCAGCCUCGAGUUGGAGAGAGGUAGGCGGAAGGCGCGGUGUAGCGGUGAAAUGCAUAGAUAUCGCGAAGAACUCCGAUUGCGAAGGCAGCAUGCCAGCUCCACACUGACGCUGAGGCACGAAAGCGUGGGUAUCGAACAGGAUUAGAUACCCGAGUAGUC